rnacentral:rRNA from 1 species
CCUACGGGAGGCAGCAGUGAGGAAUAUUGGUCAAUGGACGAGAGUCUGAACCAGCCAAGUAGCGUGAAGGAUGACUGCCCUAUGGGUUGUAAACUUCUUUUAUAAAGGAAUAAAACGAGGCACGUGUGCCUUUUUGCAUGUACUUUAUGAAUAAGGAUCGGCUAACCCCGUGCCAGCAGCCGCGGUAAUAAGGAGGAUACGAGCGUUAUCCGGAUUUGUUGGGUUUAAAGGGAGCGUAGGUGGGUUGUUAAGUCAGUUGUGAAAGUUUGCGGCUCAACCGUAAAAUUGCAAUUGAUACUGGCAGUCUUGAGUACAGUUGAGGUAAGCGGAAUUCGAUGUGUAGCGGUGAAAUGCUUAGAUAUCACGAAGAACCCCGAUUGCGAAGGCAGCUUACUAAACUGUGACUGACAUUGAUGCUCGAAAGUGUGGGUAUCAAACAGGAUUAGAUACCCUUGUAGUC